rnacentral:misc_RNA from 1 species
GAUGAAAAACGUAGCGAAAUGCGAUAAGUAAUGUGAAUUGCAGAAUUCAGUGAAUCAUCGAAUCUUUGAACGCACAUUGCGCCCCCUGGUAUUCCGGGGGGCAUGCCUGUCCGAGCGUCAUUACAACCCUCAAGCUCAGCUUGGUAUUGGGCCCCGCCGCUCCGGCGGGCCCUAAAGUCAGUGGCGGUGCCGUCCGGCUCCGAGCGUAGUAAUUCUUCUCGCUCUGGAGGUCCGGUCGUGUGCUCGCCAGCAACCCCCAAUUUUUUUCAGGUUGACCUCGGAUCAGGUAGGGAUACCCGCUGAACUUAAGCAUAUCAAUAAGCGGAGGA